rnacentral:sRNA from 1 species
GUAACUCAGUGAUUAAUAUAUAGUUGUUUGUUAAUAGGUUUUCUAUAUGCAUCACUUGUUACCGGUAUCUGAAUCAUAUCUUUAUGCUCUAUGUGCAGGAGAUAAUAAUAAUCUUGAUAUCAAAGGUCAUUAUAUUUAUAUUGUUCAAAUACUUGGUUUAAAAGUUUUUAGAAUUGUUGUUUUGGGGAGGGGGGAUUUCGAAGUGGUGGAACUAAGAUUUAAAAAUAUGCAUUACUUUAAAUUAAGCCAGUUUCUGUAAUCCAGAGAGAGUACCAUUGUUGGUGCUAUUGAUUUUAGAUAACUUUCGAACUGCUUCAACGUUUUUUCUUUCAUAUUGAACCUGUUUCAUUUCCUUGCCAGUUUUUCCUGAUUUUUUUUUUAAAAUGUUUACUGUUUAUCUUGAAGCAAAAUGAUACAAUUCUAAAGAAAAACACAUUUGUUCAUAUUGAAAUUAUGGAAAAUAUGUCUUAUUCCUCCUAUCCUUUUAUGUGUUUAGUAGAAAUAAUCUGUCAAAAUUGACUUAAAGUAGAAGAAAUAUCAUGGAUCUGAUCAAGACUCAAAGAUAAUGUGAUUUCUAGAAAAUAAUGCAAUUUGAAUCAGUGUCGGUAUUUGACCAAGGAGUUUUUGAAUUAAUUUGCCAAUAUAUGUGAUAGUUUUUGUAUGCAUAUGGUUCUUAGGAGACAUUUUGUUUUAUUAUCGUAAUGGUAGUGUCAAAAUAUUUUUUAAUUUUUUCGUCUUGAGAUGAAAUAUAAAAUGAGAUAUGGUACAAUAUUGCACAACAUUCUGAUAAAUCUGUCAUUAAUUAUUUAUUUGAAGAAUCUUCAGAAGUGAAAUGGAGAGGAAAACUUGGCUCAGUCAACGAAUCAAUUCUGUCAAUUAAAUAUAAUUGAUUUAUGGUGCAAUAAGGCAUUAAAAAGAUUGAAGAUAUAUAUGUGUCUAAUAUAUAUAUUUAUAAUAAUAUAGAUGUUAAUUAUUUUGUUGUUGAUAUUAAACGUGCACUUGUAC